AGACUUAUGCAUCCUCCACGAUAAAUUGAUGUCUAAAACCUUGAUCAGCUCCUCUCUCCUUUUAGGAUCAACUCCCGCGACUCCAAAUAUCAUUUUCUCGGCCGAAAUGUCCAUCUGUAUCGAGACCUCGAAACCAGCAAAUGCCACAUCUCUCCUCCACUCACCGCCCAAGUAGGACAGAUCGCCGGAGGAAAUGAGAGCUGUGUCAUGGAAAGCCGACCG
rnacentral:misc_RNA from 1 species